AGGUAUGCGAGGAAUCAGAAAGCAUGGUAAUUUCAUAGCAGAAGAAUCCACACCGAUACAAAGGUAAAAUGGAAUUAAAAGUCCUAACUAUCAAGAUUUUUUGGUGUGGUCAUCGGAGAAGUUGGUCAAACAGUGAUACCUCAAAUCGGCGUCAUACUGGAUAGAGAUGAUGAACAGUCCUUGGGUGUUCACACAUCACCUGGAAAGGAAAAAAGAAUCAGCUCAAAGAAUGAAGAAGAAGGAAGAGAC
rnacentral:lncRNA from 1 species